rnacentral:misc_RNA from 1 species
GGUAAUUGAAGCCCAAACUUUUUGAUACUCCUCUCUUGAUGCUCGUAUAAUACAAAGUUUUGUAAUUGGAUUCACAUACUUCACUUGAAAUGAAUUUGCUGAUGAGGCGAGGCCACACUCACCAAAGUUUGUAAGAAUAACGUCCCUGAUGGCUUUGGUCAAGUUGAAUUGAGUGAUUACGAUGGGUUCAUCUGAUGCAGUCCCUUUAUUUGGAUCCAAAUAAACCUCCAUAACUAAGUAUCUAUUUUUAAAUCCCACCAUGAUCUUCUUUUACUG